GACUCUUAGCGGUGGGUCACUUGGCUUGUGUGUUGAUGAAAAACGCAUCUAGCUGCGAGAAUUUGAAUUGUAGGACACACUGAUGGUUGACAAUUCAAACACACUUGCGGUCCCUGCGUUCCUCCUUCUGGGAGG
rnacentral:rRNA from 1 species